rnacentral:rRNA from 1 species
UACGUAGGGUGCAAGCGUUAAUCGGAAUUACUGGGCGUAAAGCGUGCGCAGGCGGUUCGGAAAGAAAGAUGUGAAAUCCCAGGGCUUAACCUUGGAACUGCAUUUUUAACUGCCGGGCUAGAGUAUGUCAGAGGGGGGGUAGAAUUCCACGUGUAGCAGCGAAAUGCGUAGAGAUGUGGAGGAAUACCGAUGGCGAAGGCAGCCCCCUGGGAUAAUACUGACGCUCAUGCACGAAAGCGUGGGGAGCAAACAGG